rnacentral:rRNA from 1 species
CCAAUAGCGUAUAUUAAAGUUGUUGCAGUUAAAAAGCUCGUAGUUGAAUUUCGGGAUUAGUACGUUGGUCGUGCCUUCGGUAUGUACUGAUGUUACUGAUUCCUCCCUUCCGACGCACCGUCAUGUCAUUAAUUUGGUGUGGCGGGGAAUCAGGACUGUUACUUUGAAAAAAUUAGAGUGUUUAAAGCAGGCUCGCGCUUGAAUACAUUAGCAUGGUAUAAUGAAAUAGGACGUUCGAUCCUAUUUUGUUGGUUUCUAGGAUUGACGUAAUGAUUAAUAGGGAUAGUUGGGGGCAUUAGUAUUCAAUUGUCAGAGGUGAAAUUCUUGGAUUUAUUGAAGACUAACUACUGCGAAAGCAUUUGCCAAGGAUGUUUUCAUUAAUCAAGAACGAAAGUUAGGGGAUCGAAGACGAUCAGAUACCGUCGUAGCCUUAACCAUAAACUAUGCCGACUAGGGAUCGGAUGAUGUUAAUUUUUUAAUGACUCAUUCGGCGCCUUACG